rnacentral:rRNA from 1 species
AGAGUUUGAUCCUGGCUCAGAACGAACGCUGGCGGCAGGCCUAACACAUGCAAGUCGAGCGCCCCGCAAGGGGAGCGGCGGACGGGUGAGUAACACGUGGGAACAUGCCCAAAGGUACGGAACAACCCAGGGAAACUUGGGCUAAUACCGUAUGAUCCAGCAAUGGCAAAGAUUUAUCGCCUUUGGAUUGGCCCGCGUCC